GCUUCACAGAUGCAGUGAUGAUGUUACAUCACAGUUUGAGAGAUUCCUGUUGGCCUAGGGAAAUGCAGUUGAAAUACUCUGUUAAAGGAACAAUUCCUUACUACAGGAUUUUUGUUGUUGUUUUAUUUACUGGUACUAGGGAUUUAACCCAGGGAUUCUUUAGCACUGAACCACAUCCCGGUCCUUUUCAUUUUUUUUAGACGGGGUCUCACUAAAUUGCUUAGGUUGGUUAAGUUGUUGAGGCUGGCCUGGAAUUUGUGAUCCUCCUGCCUCAGUCUCCUGAGUGCCUAGGAUUCCAAGCAUGCACCACAUUGCCCUGCUCAUGGUAUUUUUUAAAUGAAACCUCUAAAAGUAAGUGAUGGAUGCAUUUCUGGGUAUCUACUGAAAAAGAAUUGAAAAGGGAACAAACAUAUUUCUACACCAAAGUUCACAGUGGCAAUAUUCACAGUAGCUAAAAGGUGGAAAUGCCGGUAAAUGAAUGAAUGGAUAAACAAAAUGUGGUGUAGAUAUACACCUGUAAUUCCAAUGCCAGGGAUUAUAGGAGUACAUAGCCACGCCCAGCUAUAUAUUUAUACACACACAUUACAUAUUAGAUUCUAAGGAAUUGGCUCGUUGAGCCAAUUUUUUUUCCUUCUGUACUUGUGAUUAAACCCAGGGUACUUUACCACUGAGCUACAUCCCCAGCCGUUUUCAUUUUUUAUUUUGAGAUAGGGUCUUACUAAAUUAUUCAGCGCUUGGCUAAAUUGUUUAAGCUGGCUUUGAAUUUUCAAUCCUCAUGCCUCAGCCUCCCAAGUCCCUGAGUUUAUAUGACUGUGGCACUGUACCCUGCAUAAGAAAAUUUUUAAAGUUAAUAAAUGAACUAUUCUGGACUCCUGGAUCUAGAGUUUCUGCCUCAUUGGCUAGAAGGCCCAUUUAUGAACUUGUAUUCUUAUGACCCGUUUCCUCCAAAUUUGCCUAUUUCACCAUUCUCCUGAUCUCCUACCAGGCUAUGAGCCAAGUCCCAGACCUCAUCCUUGGCUGUAUUCACUUCUUCCCUUCCCACAUUUGGACAAUCCCAGAACCUAAAAAUCAUCCUUGGCUGUAUUCACUCCUUGGCUGUAUUCACUUCUGCCCUUCCCACAUUUGGACAAUCACCAAACUUGAUCUUUUCAAGCUGUCACAUGCAUCUGUUCUUUCCAACAACCAGUACUUGAGUUUAGCCUUUGUCAUCCAAUUUUGGUCAUCAUAACUCAUUUUAUCUUCCAC
rnacentral:lncRNA from 1 species